rnacentral:ncRNA from 1 species
GAAAAGGUGAAAAAGAGAGAUGAUUUUCAUCUCUCUUGACAAGGACGGAAACAAUUUUCAUCUUUCAGUAGAUCCCUAACAACAAUAACUUGGAUUUUACUUUCUGGAUCUCCCUUUUUU